rnacentral:rRNA from 1 species
UACGUAGGGGGCAAGCGUUGUCCGGAUUUAUUGGGCGUAAAGAGCGUGUAGGCGGCCACACAGGUCUGCUGUGAAAACUCGAGGCUCAACCUCGAGCUGUCGGUGGAAACCGUGUGGCUAGAGUCCGGAAGAGGAGAGUGGAAUUCCCGGUGUAGCGGUGAAAUGCGCAGAUAUCGGGAAGAACACCCGUGGCGAAGGCGGCUCUCUGGGACGGUACUGACGCUGAGACGCGAAAGCGUGGGGAGCAAACAGG